CUCGCGAUCACCGCCCGUCCUUGGCCACGCAGCCGCGAGUCCCUCCCGGAGCUCCGCGGACUCCGGCGCGCCCGGCCGACCCGGACCCAGGCCCUACCCGCGCGGGCCUCAGGGCCACAGGUCUCCUCCCCGCCCUCAGGGCCCUGCCGCCCCACGCGCUUAGGACCUGUGCUCCCGCCCAGCCCCAGGCCCAGAAUGCCGGCCGGACCUCGGGCUUUGGGACGGGGCGCCGCCCUCCGCGCCCCGACCCGCCCGGGUCACAGAGCCUGUGCCUGGCUCUGCAGCCGUGAGACCCUCGCCUCCCCUCGCGUGACCUCCUGGCCAGCGGGAAGCCGAGUUAGGAAGUACGGUGGGCCCCCUCUCCCCUGCGCCUAGCCGGUGAGACGCUCCGCAGGGGACUGACAGCCAGCCACGCUCCUAGAGGCUGGGCUGGGCCGCAGCCCCCGCCCCUUGCCCAUUGCUUUGCAGACCUGCCCGUCAGCCCAGAGCCACACUUAGCAGGAGGGAAGCAAAGACGGUCUGGAGGAGCUGGGCACAAAGAAGUCUGGUGGCUAGAACUGAGCAGUCGGGGUGGGGCAGCCACCUGGGGAACCCCAGGUCCCAGGCAAGGGACCAAAGGGCACCCAGCAGGCAGCCGCCAGACCGUUCUGCACUGACUUCAGUGCCUUCAAGGGUGCCGCACGUCUUCUCAGCAAGAGGCUCCACCCCGGAGUCCAAGGCGGUGUCCAGGAGGUUGAGGCACCUGGGUGAUGCCCCUCAGCCUGGCUGAGCUACGGGAAGUGUAGGAAGCCCAGCCCUCUCCCCCACCCAGAGUGGUCCUCCUGGACAGAGCAGGUCCUGUCCCUCACACCCUCCCUGGGGGUCCUGGCCACCUACCAAGACAGCCUGGCCCCCACCCAUUGGUCUUCGUGUGUACAAAACAGCAGAAACAAAUCUCAAACAUUUAAAAUGGGGGUUGUUGGCUUGAAAGGGGGAAUGCGAUUGCUGGGGGAAUUUCAAGGGAGAGUAGAUGAUGUCUACAACCUCAGGCUGCAGGCUAGACUGCAGGGCAGAGCUUUGGACAUUGUCCUUCCUGGGUGGCACAGGGCAGCCUCCGGGGAUGACCCCACGUGGAUGAAGUGAGGGUUGGCAGUGCUGCCCUCUGAGAGCAGGAGGUAGGGGUGGGUCCCCGACCUCAGGGAGGGGAACCACACAGACCAGACAGCAAGGGGCUCAGCCAGGAGGAAACUACCCACAGAGGCCAUAAUGGUGCCUACCUGUGGGCAGCUCCUGCCAGCCUGUCCCUCACCUCUUGGGUAGGCUCAAGCUUGGCCAAGCUGUAUUGCAGGUCUCCUGGCCACAGGAGGCCCGGGGUUCUUGCAGGAGCAGCUGUGGAUUGGGUGGGACCAUGGUGACCAGCAGUCUCAGAGGCCAGUGGCCUGAAGGGAGAGCAGGAAGGGCCUCCAGAAACCUCUGGGUGCCUACAAUCCCAGACCCCAAGCACUGGCCUGGGGGGCUUCAAUGUGAGAAAGUGUCAGCUGCACCCAAAGGUCAAGACGAGCUAAAGCAGAUGUUUCAGUGGUGGGCGGCCAGGUCCCUGGGUCCUGAACAUCAAUCAUCAUAUGUUGUAAGAGGCUCCUGCGUGUUUUCGUCCAUGUGCGGGGCAGCAUGGGCUGCUGGGAGGGUGGUAGACCAGAGUGAGCUCCGGUCCCUGGAUGCCCGUGGGCUGCAGGGGUCAUGGCUGCCCAUGGACACUGGGUCAGCAGGCUCACAGAGCCCCUGCCUCCCACCCUGGGGUGAGGUCAGGUGGACCCUGCAGCCCAGCCCACAGCAGCGGGCAGGGACCUCCCAUAGUGUCCCGUGUGGCACCAAAUAGAAGCCACAUUCCCAAGGCCCAGGGCUGUCUGCCCAGCCACUGCUGUCUGUGGCCAGCCUCCCGUCCCUACCUCCUCCCAGUGGGACCUGAGGUGAGGCUGGUCCCGGGCUCAGGGGCUUUUUGGUUAGGGUGCGCCUCAGGGCAACCGCUUAGCCCUGAGCCUCAGUUUCCCUCCAGUGAGCCAGUGAGGAUGAGGACCGAGGACAGGAGGGCUCUUGGCAUAGUCACGGCCUCUAUGAGCAGGGCUCAUCGACAGUUAACAAGCACAGCAGCCUCUUCCUGCCAAAGCCCAGACACGGGCACAGACAGAUCCCAUUGGAGGAGGGCAGAAAGGCUCUGUCUAGCCGACCUUGGUUAGUGCUCCGCACUGUCCUGGGCUCUGGGCCCACGUUAUCCGGGUGCCUUGACUGACUGCACGAGGAGCACAGGGGCUGCCCUGCCCUGUGGGUGAGGAAGUCCUGGUGGGCAGCCUGGUGAGGGCCUGGUCUGACUCCCCAAGCCCCAGGAAGCCCCUGCUGGGUGAGCGGGGCCCUCGCCUCGCCACCUUGGGGUGCCCUGGGCUGUCCCUGCUCCCCCUUCCCUGGACACAGGUCCCUGGGCUGCAGUUCCACUCUGACCCUGUCAGUUCCCCCUGCAGCUUCAGGGCCACCUCCUGGGGGUGCAGAAGAGGCCACACCCUGGACCAACAGUCAGAAUAGCAAUAUCAGACAGCAACAGGACAGAGGAUGCUCAGAAGACAUGGGAAUAAGCAGGGCCGGUGGGAGUGGAGCCGGGGCAAGGUGGGGUUGGAAGCCAACUGUUUGGAAGCCUGACCCCGUCCUCACUGCCAGAAUCUGCACCCAGUCCCCUGCCUGCCACAUGACACAUCCUUGGGGACAGAGCCCCUGGGCCCCACCAUGCCUGGGGAGGCCACACUGGCUGCAGAUAAGCUGUUCAGGAAGCCUGCAGUGACAUUAUUAGUGCUGUGAAGAGACCAAGAGCUGUGUGCCGUAGGUGGGGAAGCCACAUGGGAGAGCCGACGGGAUUUGGCAGGAAAGGGAGAGAAGUGGAAGGGAAGAGGUGUGCUCUGUCCACAGGGGUCUGUCAAGGCCAAGCAUCCUAACAAACCACUAAAAUACUAGACCAGGGCCAGUUUCAACCCUACAGUAAGAUAGGUCAGUUACCAAGGUCACAGGGCACAAAGUACGACUGUGCCUCUAAAUACUAGCAACAAGCACUGGUGUAUCCCGUACUAGAGGGGCUCCCUAGAACAGAUUUAAUGUAAUACUGUGAAGAUACAUGAUUCACAAGGUAGGGUCACAGUGGCUGCCUGCAGUCAGCUGUGGGAGGUGAAAGGGCCGUCUGUGUGCCUGAGAGCCAAACGUCCCGUCAGAGGGGAGGCGCAGAGCUCACAGCAGUGUCCCAUGGAGUCCAUGACAGGAAGCUAAGAGUCUGCACUGAAGCCCGGAAACAGACACCCAAAGGCAAAGGUGAAGGCUGGAGCUCCUCUGAAGACACAGAAGUGAGCCUUCUUCCCUUUUAUUCCACCCAGGCCGCAAGCCCAUUGGUUGGCACCGCGUCCACACCCACGCCCAUGGUGGGUCUUCCUUCAAAAUCCAGCAGCUGUUUCAAAAUUGAUACGGAGACGUGGAGGACGCACAGCAGCAGAAACAUUUUGAGAAAGAAAAGCAAAGAAGACUUCAGAUGCGGACCUGCUCACUUGCGACAGCCAAUCGAUCACACACAGGAGCUGGUGACCUCGAGGGAAAGGGACAGUGCUCAGUCAAGGGGCCCCAAGAACAGCGGGCUGUGGAUGUGGGCAGACGUGAGCCUUGGCCUGGGGCGGCUCCCGGGCAGGCACUCCCUAGCAUUCUGGAGGCUGGGGCUGUUCCCGAACCACACUCCAAGGUGAGCACACUGUGCACACACAUCAGUUCGAAGUGCAUGAUGGACUGAAAUGAAAAGCCCCUGCUCAGGCCCACAGCCCACAGCUAGAUACCUUGUGAGGCGGAAGAGGCAGACUGUAAAAUGAACAGUGCUGUUCAGUGUGGUGGUCAUUAUGUAAUAGCCACAUAUGGCUAUUUAAAUUAAAGUCAACUAAAAUGAAGUUACAAACUCCACUCCUCGCCACUUCUGUGCUCACAGGACAGACAGCUGGUGACUGCCAUUGUCUCAGAAAAGUCUCCACGGCAAGUGUCCUCUUUCUUCACUGUGACUGUCAGGCUUGAUCUGGCCAUGACCUGUUUAAUGAAUGUGCUGUUUAAUUCCAAGCUACAGUUUCAGCAGAUACAAAAAAACUGCAGCCCUCAGCAAAACAUGCAGCUAAAAAACAGAUACAGGCUGUGCUGUCUGUGGGAAGGGGAGAACACAGAACGGGAUGCUAUAAAAAACCACGAAGUUAGACCACAAAGUACAGCGCAUCUUCCCAGCCCAAGUUACCUGGCAACACCCAUUUUAAGACCGAGGGCCUUACCAAACGCUCGGAGGAGCUGACUAGUGAAGCACACCCAGGAAUCCCAGCGGUGCCUUCAGAAUGUAAGACCAAGAGCCUUACCAAACGCUCCGAGGAGCUGGCUACAGCGAAGAACACCCGGGAAGGAACACACCGGACAAGUUGGAAAAUAAAACAGACCUUUAUUAGUCUGGCCAGACGGCACUCCCAAAGCAAAAUAGCUUAGAGAGGCAACUGGCUCAGAGUCCGAGGCUGUUUUUAUAGGGGGUUGAGGGGGAAGUUAACAUACAGAAUUAAAGAAAAGGGGACAAAGGUUAGUGGUCGAGUGUCACGUAUUGAUGGUCAGCAGACAUUUACAGCUUUUUCUAAAAAUUGUGGUGCCCGGAACAUCAGUUCCGGGCAGACAAGGAGUUGAGUAGUUUACUUUGGGACUUUAGGUCUGUUACAGAUUUUUAUCUAGUGUCCCAAAACUAACAAACAUCUUUAUCCAUUAACUCACAUUUAAUCACAAUGGGGCUGGAGAAAAGGAACAAAGGUUAUGCAGUCCCACACCAUUGAUGGCUGCAUGGUCCCGACUGCAAAUAUGUGCUCUGACUCCGUAUGCGACAGACCCCUUCCCAAUCCCCUAUAAAACUGCACCUUGCCUUUGUCCUCCACUGAUGGCUUUGUUGGCCUCCGUGGGCCUGCACCCAGAGGAAUCAAGCCUGUGCCUUGUUUCCUUCCAUGAGCCUGCUUAGGUGGUCUCAGUCCUCCACCAUUUGUCCAGUAACAAAAUCCCUGAGAUAAUGGACUCGUAAAAAGGAGCAGUCUGGUCGCACA
ensembl:lncRNA